CGAUAAUAUUCCGUGAGGUGCAACUUGUGCAGCAUCUUCCUGCUGAGACUUCUGCUCCUCAUUCUCACUCACCAUUGCAUCACCUGCUGGGACAGAGAGAGAAACCUCAAACAGGGAUGGAAAAGGAAAAAGCAAACCAAACUGGAAGAUAAGAUCAGGUUUGGAAACUGGAAACCCUGCUCAGAUGAAAGAAAACAAACGACAUCAGGUGAAUUCCUAAGACUUUGUAAUAAAAAAUAAUUAUUAAUUUAACUCAGUGCUUAGUAAACCAGUGAAAUCACAGGGCCUCCUCUCCAGGUUCUGAAAGGUGUAGAACACCCUGCUUAUGAGAGGUUGAACUAUUCACAUAUAUGCUGGGAACACACACAGACAGAUACUGUGACAGUCUGUAACCGUAUAUUCACUCUUUUGCAAAAUUAUGAUAUAUUUUGUACAAAGUAUGUCUUGUUAGGGAAAAUUUGGAAAUUGAAUAUAUGCUGAACUUUAUUGUCCUGUUAAAAUAUGUGUAGCAACACUGUGUAUGUAAACACAUGAGAUUUUACUGUAGAUGUUUCUGAAAAAAUGCUAGAAUUCUGCAGAACAGCCAGAGACCAGUUCCUCAGAGUCAGCAAAGCUAUCACCUGGUUAAACGGCCAUUCUCCAGCAGGGGGAAGGUGUGAACAAGAAAUUUACAUUCCAUCUCAGGGACGGCUUGAAGCUCAAAUCCACAGCAGACAGCCCAUCACCAUGACUCAGCUGAAAAAUGAGGCUGUUUCUAGCACAAAGGACUGAAUAAGAAAAAGAGGUGGGGAAAAUGCUUAAGAGUAUCUCUCCCCUUUUCUCUCUGCUCAUCACAACAACUCCUGAAGAACUGAAAUUGGGGAGGCAGGGUCCUGGCUGAAAGGAAACCCAGUUUGUCACAGCAUAUAGCGAGAGGAACACAUUUACUGUGAAUCUGUUUUAGCUUAGGUUAGACGUUAGUUUGCAUUUUACCUUUUAUUUCUUUUGUAACCAAUCCUGACUUUUAUUCCUCAUUACUUGUAGUCACCUAAAAUCUUUUCUUUCUGUAGUUAAUGAAGUUGUUUUAUUGUUUUAUAUAACUAGCGUGUUUGGAUUAAAGUUUGUGAGAAACUCC